CGUUUGAUGUGAUGAACCGCAAGAACCGUAUCUGAUUGAGGCAACUCUUGAAAAAGGCCUCCUUUCUAGAUUACACAUCCUAAAUUGAUCAUAUAUUCUGAGCAAACA